GGUUAAGCGACUAAGCGUACACGGUGGAUGCCCUGGCAGUCAGAGGCGAUGAAGGACGUGCUAAUCUGCGAUAAGCGUCGGUAAGGUGAUAUGAACCGUUAUAACCGGCGAUUUCCGAAUGGGGAAACCCAGUGUGAUUCGUCACACUAUCAUUAACUGAAUCCAUAGGUUAAUGAGGCGAACCGGGGGAACUGAAACAUCUAAGUACCCCGAGGAAAAGAAAUCAACCGAGAUUCCCCCAGUAGCGGCGAGCGAACGGGGAGCAG
rnacentral:rRNA from 2 species